rnacentral:lncRNA from 1 species
GGUUUCACCAUGUUGGCCAGGCUGGUCUCGACUCCUGACCUCAGGUGAUCCACCCGCCUCAGCCUCUCAAAGUGCUAGGAUUACAGGCGUGAGCCACUGUGCCCGCCUUUUUUGUUUUUUUGAGACGAGUGCAAUGGCUCCAUUUCAGCUCACUGCAACCUCAACCUCCCGUGUUCAAAUGAUUCUCCUGCCUCAGCCUCACGAGUAGCUGAGAUUAGAGGUGUGCGUCACCACACCUGGCUAAUUUUUGUAUUUUUGGUAGAGACGGGGUUUAUCUAUGUUGGCCAGGCUAGUCUCAAACUCCUGACCUCAAGUGAUCCUCCCACCUUGGCUUCCCAAAGUGCUGGGAUUACAGGCAUGAACCACCAUGCUCGGCUUGUCAGUUCUUAUUUCACUGUUUGAUCAUCUGUUUUCUGAGUUGUGAUUUUUGUAUUUGUGGUAUUAUUUAAUAUCUUCAAUUGCUUAUUUAAUUAUUCCUAAUAAGACCCCCUCCCAGAUAUAACCAGUAUUCUGACCUCUAGUACCCUAGAUAAGUCUUAUCUAUUUUGAGCUUCCCAUAAAUGGAGAAUACAUUAUGUAUUCUUUUGUUUCUGAUUAUUUUCCUCAAUAUUUUAUCUGGAAGAUUCAUUAAUAUCAUUGCAUGCAGUAGUAGUUCAUAAUCUUUCAUUUUUCUAAAGCAUUGUACAUA